AGAGUUUGAUCAUGGCUCAGGAUGAACGCUAGCGGCAGGCUUAAUACAUGCAAGUCGUGGGGCAGCAUGAGUAGCAAUACUUGAUGGCGACCGGCAAACGGGUGCGGAACACGUACACAACCUUCCUACAAGUGGGGAAUAGCCCAGAGAAAUUUGGAUUAAUACCCCGUAACAUAUAGAUGUGGCAUCACAACUAUAUUAUAGCUUCGGCGCUUGUUGAUGGGUGUGCGGCUGAUUAGAUAGUUGGCGGGGUAACGGCCCACCAAGUCUACGAUCAGUAGCUGAUGUGAGAGCAUGAUCAGCCACACGGGCACUGAGACACGGGCCCGACUCCUACGGGAGGCAGCAGUAAGGAAUAUUGGUCAAUGGACGAAAGUCUGAACCAGCCAUGCCGCGUGAAGGAUUAAGGUCCUCUGGAUUGUAAACUUCUUUUAUCUGGGACGAAAAAAGGCGAUUCUUCGUCACUUGACGGUACCAGAUGAAUAAGCACCGGCUAACUCCGUGCCAGCAGCCGCGGUAAUACGGAGGGUGCAAGCGUUAUCCGGAUUCACUGGGUUUAAAGGGUGCGUAGGCGGGCAGGUAAGUCAGUGGUGAAAUCCUUGAGCUUAACUCGAGAACUGCCAUUGAUACUAUCUGUCUUGAAUAUUGUGGAGGUAAGCGGAAUAUGUCAUGUAGCGGUGAAAUGCUUAGAUAUGACAUAGAACACCUAUUGCGAAGGCAGCUUACUACGCAUAUAUUGACGCUGAGGCACGAAAGCGUGGGGAUCAAACAGGAUUAGAUACCCCCGUAGUCC
rnacentral:rRNA from 1 species